GAUUUAAGACAAACUGUUGUGAUUUUAGUAAAAUACAAUGAUUUUUGAGUGCCCACAGGUCUACUUCGGAACUCGUUUCUCGACGGUCAUCGGCAGCUCCUACACCUAUCUCCUCCCGACCAUCUCCAUGAUCCUCAGCAAGCCCUACGUCUACUUCAUUGACCCCUACGAGAGAUUUGUGCACACAAUGAGGUCGAUUCAAGGGACAUACAUCGCCACCUACUGCUUCCAGAUAACCGUACGGUUCUCCGGUGUCUGGAGGAUUUUUUUAAGGUUUCCAAUUGCAUUGAAAUUGGGCUUCCAACAAUUAUUCUCCUAGUGAUCUUCGUGCUGUAUCUACCAAAUGCAAUGAGCUAGUGGAAGGAGAGUGAUCUUGGUAGGUUUGCGUUGGUUAUUGUGGUUGCUAUUGUUUGGUUAUAUGCAUAUAUUCUCACUGUGACCGGUACCUACAAGAAUCGACCUCUACAAACUCAACUUAGUUGCCGAGCAGAUCGCUCUAGUCUUAUAGAUUGUUCACACUGGUACUGCAACUCUAACAUCAAAAUUUACCAAAUAUCCGUUUUGUUUCUUGCUACUUCAGCUGCAAAAGCUUGUGUGUCUGAUACAUUCAUAUUUCUCUGUUCGAUAUCUAAACAAACACAAGUAAAUGAAUUAACCUUGAGAAUCGUAAUUUACAAUUACUUGCAUGAGUAUAUUGCUGCUGAUGAGUUGGGAUGAGAUUCACACUAUUUAUCCUUAUUCUUCUUUGUUCUAAUUUUCAGAUAUACCAAGGAGUUAUAAGAAAAAUAUUUAGAUUAAUUCAACAGCUUGUCAGUAUUUCCCUAACUAAGAGCAAAAAUGUCAUUAUUGAAAGAAACAUAAUGAUGUUAAAUCUGUAAGGAAUGAGCUUUGUUCUUGCAAUUAUGUUCCAAAGCUUGAGGUAAUCCUCUAUAUUAUUUGUUCAGGUUGUUUCUUCGCAAUUGCUUGGUUCAACCUUUCCAAAAAAACACCAUGAGAUUCAACCAUGCUUAACUUUGUCCUGGCUCUCCUUCAAUCACAUGGAGCCCAGCGCGGUUAUUUCGGCUUGCAAUAUAUAAGAGAUAUAAUUGAAGGUGCCACAUCUAUUGACAAGGAUAUGCUGUGGCCAAUAUUCGCAAAGGUUGUGAUAGAUGCAAAGGAAAUUUCUAAAGUAUGUUCGGAGUGAGCGGAAUACAUACAAGACAACAUAU